rnacentral:tRNA from 2 species
GGAGACGUGGCUGAGUGGUCGAAAGCGCCUCACUGCUAACGAGGUAGGGUCUAAAAGCCCUCACUGGUUCGAAUCCAGUCGUCUCCGCCA